CCAUGAUCCUAUGCUGCCGAGAAAAGCCACUAGCGAGCUGGUACAUGGCCCGUACCCCAAACCGACACAGGUGGUCAGGUAGAGAAUACUAAGGCGAUCGAGAGAACUGUGGUUAAGGAACUCGGCAAAAUGCCCCCGUAACUUCGGGAGAAGGGGGACCAGUCCUGGUGACGACAUUUACUGUCUGAGCUGGGGUUGGUCGCAGAGACCAGAGAGAAGCGACUGUUUACUAAAAACACAGGUCCGUGCGAAGUCGUAAGACGAUGUAUACGGACUGACGCCUGCCCGGUGCUGGAAGGUUAAGAGGACCGGUCAGCCACUUCGGUGGCGAAGCUGAGAAUUUAAGCCCCAGUAAACGGCGGUGGUAACUAUAACCAUCCUAAGGUAGCGAAAUUCCUUGUCGGGUAAGUUCCGACCUGCACGAAUGGCGUAACGACUUCUCUGCUGUCUCAACCACAGACUCGGCGAAAUUGCAGUACGAGUAAAGAUGCUCGUUACGCGCGGCAGGACGAAAAGACCCCGGGACCUUCACUAUAGCUUGGUAUUGGUGCUCGGUUCGGUUUGUGUAGGAUAGGUGGGAGACUGUGAAACUCGCACGCCAGUGUGGGUGGAGUCAUUGUUGAAAUACCACUCUGACCGUAUUGGACAUCUAACCUCGGACCAUGAUCUGGUUCAGGGACAGUGCCUGGUGGGUAGUUUAACUGGGGCGGUUGCCUCCUAAAAAGUAACGGAGGCGCCCAAAGGUUCCCUCAGCCUGGUUGGCAAUCAGGUGUUGAGUGUAAGUGCACAAGGGAGCUUGACUGUGAGACGUACAUGUCGAGCAGGGACGAAAGUCGGGACUAGUGAUCUGGCACCGGCAAGUGGAAGCGGUGUCGCUCAACGGAUAAAAGGUACCCCGGGGAUAACAGGCUGAUCUUCCCCAAGAGUCCAUAUCGACGGGAUGGUUUGGCACCUCGAUGUCGGCUCGUCGCAUCCUGGGGCUGGAGUAGGUCCCAAGGGUUGGGCUGUUCGCCCAUUAAAGCGGCACGCGAGCUGGGUUUAGAACGUCGUGAGACAGUUCGGUCUCUAUCCGCCGCGCGCGUAAGAAACUUGAGGAAACCUGUCCCUAGUACGAGAGGACCGGGACGGACGAACCUCUGGUGUGCCAGUUGUUCCACCAGGAGCACUGCUGGUUAGCUACGUUCGGAAGGGAUAACCGCUGAAAGCAUCUAAGCGGGAAGCCUGUUCCAAGAUGAGGUUUCUCACCACCUAGCGUGGUUAAGGCCCCCCACAGACCAUGGGGUUGAUAGGCCAGAACUGUAAGCACAGCAGUGUGUUCAGGUGACUGGUACUAAUCGGCCGAGGACUUGC
rnacentral:rRNA from 1 species